rnacentral:misc_RNA from 1 species
UAGGCAUGGCGGCUGGCUGUUGCGGGGCUAAGAAGCAGAAGUUCAACCACCAUACUUGUUGUAAUGGAAAUCUUUUCAACCCAAACCCAUAUCAACCAUCUCUUUAUCGAAAUGGAAUGGUUAUUAGCGUGGAGAUGUGCUUUUUCUGUUUUGAUGUUUUAUAUUGUCAUUUGAACCAGUUUGAAGCUCCAAACCCUCCCAGUUUCCCCAACGACAGCUAUCCCCUUUUUGUUACAUGGAAGAUAGGAAAAGACAGGAGAUUGAGAGGCUGUAUUGGAACCUUCAACUCAAUGAAUCUACACAAUGGACUCAGGGAAUAUGCUGUGACAAGUGCUUUCAAAGACAGCCGUUUUAGCCCAAUUACUCGUGACGAGUUUAACAAACUUCAUGUGUCUGUUUCCAUUCUCCGACAUUUUGAAGAUGGACAAGAUUACCUAGACUGGGAGAUUGGAAUUCACGGUAUUCGUAUUGAGUUUACUUCAGACAAAGGCUCAAAACGGACAGCUACAUAUCUUCCCGAAGUUGCUCCAGAACAGGGUGGGUUUAUCCUUAUGGUCAGGUUGGGACAGAAUCCAAACAGUUGACUCCCUACUAAGAAAAGGAGGCUAUAAAGGAGUUAUCACUAAUGAAGUGCGCCGUUCUGUCAGACUGACUCGCUAUCAAAAAUGUGACAGGUAAUGGAUCACAAAAGAAUGUUACAGUGACU